UUUUCACUCUAUAUCCCAUUAGAAAGGUAAACGCUCUCCGUUUUCUUCCCAUUUCAGAUUAAUAGCAAUAAUAAAUGGAGUACUAGUCCCUCAAAUUUUGAGGGGAUUUUUUUCCUUCAUCCAAUCGAGUUGUUAGUUUCUAAGAGCUGUCUGAUCUGUCCUCCUACUCCUGGAAAUCAAACUAUCUCGUUUGUUGGUUGUAUUCGCACCAAAAUCGUCACGAAACCAUAAGUUUCCGUUAGUUUCUCGGGAAUAUCUCCCCUCGCUCACCCAAUGAUGGUUUUAUUAUUAUCCCCUUAAGUUCAAAUGUCAUCAGUUUUCUCAUUUACUCAUUCUUUGAUUUUGUCAUUGCAAACUAAAGCUAGGAUGAACGUUGACCCAGUCUCUGCAUUGGAAAACAGCUGUAGUUUAUAGCCAGAAUCACCUCCAAAAUUUUCGAUUUUCGGGCUACGGUUUGUGGAUUAUUGAUUUUCAGGCAAUUGGGUGUAUUGGGUUUCUGCUGAAUUGCGGAAAUUCUCUGAACUUGCGAUCAGGGAUUCGUUCUCUGUUCUGUUUUUAUCGGAGCUAAUUAGGGAGGAAUUUGGGUUCUUGGUCUUGAGGAUUGUAUUAUUCUUUUGAUGGAGACGGACGCUAAGGUUGUUAGUGGCUCUAAAAGUAAGGCGCUAGUUGUUACAGACCUGCUGAAGGUUGAGGAUCGCCGUGUUAAUGGAGAGGAGGAUAGUGAGUCUAAUUCGUUGUUGCCGCCUCGGCGAGGUGGAAUGUCGAGAAAGUCGGAGAAGACGCGGCUGAAGGUGCAGUGGAACGAUAAGAAUGGGAAUAAACUCGCUGAGGUGAUGGAAUUCUAUCCUAGUGAUGCAAGUGACUCUGAUGAUGAGGAUUCGGAUUCUUGCAUCUGUACCGUAAUGUAGAUAUCAUUCAGUGCACCAUUAUCAAAACAAUCUGCUGGAUAAAUUAUUGGGAGCAUGCAUCCUCUCCAACUUUGAUGAUUAUGGAGCAAAUUGGCUUCCUCUCAUCUCAUCUUGCUGUUGGAAGGAUAGAUCAAAAGGUCCAAAGCUACAGAGUCUCAUGUUUGGCAUGAUUCAUUAGCUAUUCAUCAAAGCAAAGUCUAAGACCAUUCCUUCGGUGAGAUUUUGUGUGUUACCAGUAGCCGGAUGAUUCUUCCUCAAGUCUUGUUGACGUUAAUCACCUGUACUGAAUGUUUCCAUUCGAUAUCACUCUCUCCUACAAACAGUAAGACAUAAAAGAGACAGCCAAAGCCCACUGACACCGUACUAUAAUGAGAAACACAAAACAAGCGGAAGAUGAUCAAAGAAUGAGAAACACAAACGCAAGCAAAACGACAGAUUGUUGACACCGUCUAAAAUAGCCAAGAAAGAUAAGACAAACUCCCUGUGGCUGUGCUGCUAUGAUAAUUUGCAUCAUUGUACGAAAAUCAGCAAUGUUUACCAGUUUUCUUUCUUGAUAGGUGUAUAGAAGUAGGUUGUGUAUAGAAGUAGGUUGAGUUUGAGUUUUAUAUCCCUGUUCGAUACGACCAUUUCCCGUGAGGACCUGAUAUGUGAGAU